UACGGAAGGCAGCAGUGGGGAAUAUUGCACAAUGGGCGCAAGCCUGAUGCAGCCAUGCCGCGUGUAUGAAAAAGGCCUUCGGGUUGUAAAGUACUUUCAGUCGUGAGGAAGGUGUUAAGGUUAAUAACCUUAGCAAUUGACGUUAGCGACAGAAGAAGCACCGGCUAACUCCGUGCCAGCAGCCGCGGUAAUACGGAGGGUGCGAGCGUUAAUCGGAAUUACUGGGCGUAAAGGGCACGCAGGCGGUUAAUUAAGUUGGAUGUGAAAUCCCCGGGCUUAACCUGGGAAUGGCAUUCAAGACUGGUUAGCUAGAGUCUUGUAGAGGGGGUAGAAUUCCAUGUGUAGCGGUGAAAUGCGUAGAGAUGUGGAGGAAUACCGGUGGCGAAGGCGGGCCCCUGGGACAAAGACUGACGCUCAUGUGCGAAAGCGUGGGGAGCAAACAGGGAUUAGAUACC
rnacentral:rRNA from 1 species